UACGGGGGGGGCGAGCGUUGUUCGGAAUCACUGGGCGUAAAGGGCGCGUAGGCGGCCCGCACAAGUCUGCGGUGAAAACCCCCGGCUUAACCGGGGGCCGGCCGUGGAAACUGCCGGGCUGGAGGCUGGGAGAGGGCAGCGGAAUUCCCGGUGUAGCGGUGAAAUGCGUAGAGAUCGGGAGGAACACCGGCGGCGAAGGCGGCUGCCUGGACCAGUCCUGACGCUGAGGCGCGAAAGCUAGGGGAGCAAACAGG
rnacentral:rRNA from 1 species